ACGAACGCUGGCGGCAUGCCUAACACCUGCCAGUCGCACGAGACCUUCGGGUCUAGUGGCGCCCGGGUGCGUAACGCGUGGGAACCUGCCCUUAGGUUCGGAAUGACUCCCCGAAAGGGGUGCUAAUACCGGAUAAUGUCUUCGGACCAAAGAUUUAUCGCCUUUGGAUGGGCCCGCGUUGGAUUAGCUAGUUGGUAGGGUAAAAGCCUACCAAGGCGACGAUCCAUAGCUGGUCUGAGAGGAUGAUCAGCCACACUGGGACUGAGACACGGCCCAGACUCCUACGGGAGGCAGCAGUGGGGAAUAUUGGACAAUGGGCGAAAGCCUGAUCCAGCAAUGCCGCGUGAGUGAUGAAGGCCUUAGGGUUGUAAAGCUCUUUUACCCGGGAUGAUAAUGACAGUACCGGGAGAAUAAGCUCCGGCUAACUCCGUG
rnacentral:rRNA from 1 species